CACUAUCAAUCGUAGUCAAACCACCAUCGCCAUCAGUCAGCAGAAGCGAAAGUUGGUGAAAAUCAACGUGGCCGUGUCGAACGAUCUGCUAAUUUGCGAAUCACACGCUGACAACGGAGGAAUUUCUCAGUGCACGCUCCUACAUAAGAAUCAAAUCAGUUACCAUCAUAAAGAACGAUUAUAACGCUUCGGAUGGUCAAGCAGCGAGAAAAACUCUGAUCCCGAGCCCACCACUGGACCGAUAAUCACACCAUCAGUGUGAACGGUCAAAACGCGAUAUCGCCAAAGCGCAUGGUCGGUGAUCGCAGCAUCGGGCAACGAUCGAAGUCAUCGAGCAGAAAGAGCCCCUGAAAACGGGGCUCUUUGUUUCGAUUAUUCUCCAAACAGGCUUAAUAGUCAGACGACUCGCGUCAUUGUUGACCUUGAACUUGAAUCAGGGACGUGUGCAUGUGUGUGACCAUCACGGUGGAAUAAUUUGGAUGUGAUGCGGUGCGUGGUGCAAGACCAAUAGUGAGGAGUGAGCCGUGAGAUCUAUACAUCGGCGACGACAACGGUGUGAGCAGAAGGAAUGGAGCAGUGCUUGU